rnacentral:pre_miRNA from 1 species
AACCUAGGAGGCAGAUGCUCACUUGUCCUCCUCCAUGGUUGGAAAAUACAGGGAGGAGGCCAUAGUGGCAACUGUCACCAUGAUU